GCCUGGCUUAGUCGGUGGAGCAUGAGACUCCGAAUCUCAGGGUCUUGGGUUUGACUCCCACGUUGGAUA